UACAGAGGUCUCAAGCGUUGUUCGGAUUCAUUGGGCGUAAAGGGUGCGUAGGCGGCGCGGUAAGUCGGGUGUGAAAUCUCGGAGCUUAACUCCGAAACUGCAUUCGAUACUGCCGUGCUUGAGGACUGGAGAGGAGACUGGAAUUUACGGUGUAGCGGUGAAAUGCGUAGAUAUCGUAAGGAAGACCAGUGGCGAAGGCGGGUCUCUGGGACGGUACUGGCGCUGAGACGCGAAAGCGUGGGGAGCGAACAGG
rnacentral:rRNA from 1 species